GACCCCGUGAACCUUUACUAUAGCUUGACACUGAACAUUGAGCCUUGAUGUGUAGGAUAGGUGGGAGGCUUUGAAGUGUGGACGCCAGUCUGCAUGGAGCCGGCCUUGAAAUACCACCCUUUAAUGUUUGAUGUUCUAACGUGGACCCGUGAUCCGGGUUGCGGACAGUGUCUGGUGGGUAGUUUGACUGGGGCGGUCUCCUCCUAAAGAGUAACGGAGGAGCACGAAGGUUGGCUAAUCCUGGUCGGACAUCAGGAGGUUAGUGCAAUGGCAUAAGCCAGCUUGACUGCGAGCGUGACGGCGCGAGCAGGUGCGAAAGCAGGUCAUAGUGAUCCGGUGGUUCUGAAUGGAAGGGCCAUCGCUCAACGGAUAAAAGGUACUCCGGGGAUAACAGGCUGAUACCGCCCAAGAGUUCAUAUCGACGGCGGUGUUUGGCACCUCGAUGUCGGCUCAUCACAUCCUGGGGCUGAAGUAGGUCCCAAGGGUAUGGCUGUUCGCCAUUUAAAGUGGUACGCGAGCUGGGUUUAGAACGUCGUGAGACAGUUCGGUCCCUAUCUGCCGUGGGCGCUGGAGAACUGAGGGGGGCUGCUCCUAGUACGAGAGGACCGGAGUGGACGCAUCACUGGUGUUCGGGUUGUCAUGCCAAUGGCACUGCCCGGUAGCUAAAUGCGGAAGAGAUAAGUGCUGAAAGCAUCUAAGCACGAAACUUGCCCCGAGAUGAGUUCUCCCUGAGACUUUAGGUCUCCUGAAGGAACGUUGAAGACGACGACGUUGAUAGGCCGGGUGUGUAAGCGCAGCGAUGCGUUGAGCUAACCGGUACUAAUGAACCGUGAGGCUUAACCUUACA
rnacentral:rRNA from 1 species